UACGUAGGCAGCAAGCGUUGUUCGGAGUUACUGGGCGUAAAGGGCUCGUAGGCGGCCAACUAAGUCAGACGUGAAAUCCCUCAGCUUAACUGGGGAACUGCGUCUGAUACUGGAUGGCUUGAGUUUGGGAGAGGGAUGCGGAAUUCCAGGUGUAGCGGUGAAAUGCGUAGAUAUCUGGAGGAACACCGGUGGCGAAGGCGGCAUCCUGGACCAACUCUGACACUGAUGAGCGAAAGCCAGGGGAGCAAACGGG
rnacentral:rRNA from 1 species